GGUGGAAAGUUGUUUCGGUUGGGGAUGGGCUCGCGGCCUAUCAGUUUGUUGGUGAGGUAAUGGCUCACCAAGACGACGACGGGUAGCCGGCCUGAGAGGGCGACCGGCCACACUGGGACUGAGACACGGCCCAGACUCCUACGGGAGGCAGCAGUGGGGAAUAUUGCACAAUGGGGGGAACCCUGAUGCAGCGACGCAGCGUGCGGGAUGACGGCCUUCGGGUUGUAAACCGCUUUCAGCAGGGAAGAAGCCUUCGGGUGACGGUACCUGCAGAAGAAGUACCGGCUAACUACGUGCCAGCAGCCGCGGUAAUACGUAGGGUACGAGCGUUGUCCGGAAUUAUUGGGCGUAAAGAGCUCGUAGGUGGUUGGUCACGUCUGCUGUGGAAACGCAACGCUUAACGUUGCGCGGGCAGUGGGUACGGGCUGACUAGAGUGCAGUAGGGGAGUCUGGAAUUCCUGGUGUAGCGGUGAAAUGCGCAGAUAUCAGGAGGAACACCGGUGGCGAAGGCGGGACUCUGGGCUGUAACUGACACUGAGGAGCGAAAGCAUGGGGAGCGAACAGGAUUAGAUACCCUGGUAGUCCAUGCCGUAAACGUUGGGCACUAGGUGUGGGGGGCAUUCCACGUUCUCCGCGCCGUAGCUAACGCAUUAAGUGCCCCGCCUGGGGAGUACGGCCGCAAGGCUAAAACUCAAAGGAAUUGACGGGGGCCCGCACAAGCGGCGGAGCAUGCGGAUUAAUUCGAUGCAACGCGAAGAACCUUACCAAGGCUUGACAUACACCAGAUCGCUGCAGAAAUGUGGUUUCCUCCUUGUGGGGUUGGUGUACAGGUGGUGCAUGGUUGUCGUCAGCUCGUGUCGUGAGAUGUUGGGUUAAGUCCCGCAACGAGCGCAACCCUCGUUCUAUGUUG
rnacentral:rRNA from 1 species